UUUUUUAGAUACUAGAUGCCAAGGUUCAGCAGCGGACAAGAGCAGAACAGAUGUGUUCAUCUGCAGCGUUGAAGCAACUAUUUGUGAAGAAGGAUUAAUUUACAUGGAACUACUCUCAGCUUUAAUUUUUAAAUCGUCAUCUGCAAAGAAAAACUCGAUUGCUAAUCUAAUCAUUGAUUACUGAUCCGUAUUUGGAGGCAAAGACAAACAGGUGAUUUGUUGGCGUGAGGCUCAAAAUGAGGCUCUGUGACGAAUCUGAGGACGGAAACACUGCAGUGGAGCAGACAGGAGGGUCUGCAGCCUCCAGCUGCUCCAGAAACAGCGAGCGGCUCGCUGUGCCACGUUUCGGCCGUCACCACCUGCCUGCAGACUGGGUGGAGUUUCCAACGGCCAUCUAUCUGCUGAUGAAACACAAUCAAUCCCAAGAGCUGAUCGAUGUCGACUUGGAGCCUUCAGUCACAAAACCUGUGUGCGUGAGGACGAGCAGUAAGGCAUAUACUCCAUAUUUCUAGAGUCCAGCCUGAACUGUGCAGUUAUGAUGCUGUCAGCCUGAAGAGGAAUGAAUCCUUGAAGAGCGGUCCCUGGAUGGGAAAUAUCUGAUUCUUUAUUUCAGUCGAGAGAUGAGAAAUCUCUUCUACAAGUUGAACAUCAGCGCUCGCUGUCAGGAGGUCUGCUUUUAAAUCAUUUUGUUGUGUCAGUGGGGGGCCCGGGCAUUGUUGACGAAGCUAGCUGCAGAUGGGAAGAAGCUUUUGUCCUGAUUGACCGCAGCCUCCUGCCAGAGGGAAGCGUAACUUUGUGAAACACAUACCAGUAAUUUGGUUUGUGAAUAAUUAUUAUAACGUCAACAGUAACCUUGACAUGUACCACUACAUUUAGAGAUUAUAUUUUUAUAGGCUACAGAACGUACAUAUCUACAAAAGAAAUGUUUAAUAGUGUGUAGUAUGUAUAAUUACAGGGCUGGUUCUUUUCUCAUCUGUGAAUUUAUUUCUACCAAACCAGAGUUGGUGAUUACUGAAAAACUGGAAACACUAACAAUGACGGGUUUGGUGAGUUUUAUUUUGUUUCUUUCUAGUUUGAAUGAAGUAAGGUCAAAUUAUUGUUUUAUGGAGUCUGGUGGCUGAUAAGAAGCUAAAACGUGAUUUUUAACCUUUUCUGGUUAAUCAAAAUUGUGUUAAAAAAGUUCUGAAACCUGUCAGUGGCAAAAACAAGCACUUUUAGUUGAUGUACUUUGGCGGGCUCAUUUGUCCCCGGGGAUCACGUUGCAACUAUUACAGCCCGUUUCUAGAAACAGAAUAUUUCUCUGAAUUAAAAUUAUUUCAACCAAACCAGAGUUGGUGAUUACUGAAAAACUGACAACACUAACAAUGACGGGUUUGGGUUUAGUUUGAAUGAAAUGUAUCACAACGAUGAGAAUUAAAUUUACUGUUUUUCUCAAUGGAGUCUGGUGAGCCGUAGCAGACGUUUGUUUUGUUGAGAUGCUGGUGCUGUAGUGCUGCAGUGAAUGUCUCCUUUAAUUCAUUUUACAGAAGAAGCUUUCUCUUUUUUCUGUAUUGUUUUCAUUUUAUUAUGAUAGCUGUCUACAUUUACACGCCGUUUGCAUGCUUAUAUGAAUGUUUUAUUGGUGGUGCUCCCAGUGGGAUUGAAACUGUGACCGUGCAUCACAGCAUUGUUCCGUUUUACGACACGUUUUAAAUGUUUGUCUCUUAGGAAGUGUGUUUCUUGAAGCUCCUGCUCUCUGCUGUUGGGUAAUAAAGUUUUUAAAAUCUGA